rnacentral:rRNA from 1 species
UACGUAGGGUGCAAGCGUUAAUCGGAAUUACUGGGCGUAAAGCGUGCGCAGGCGGUGAUGUAAGACAGAUGUGAAAUCCCCGGGCUCAACCUGGGAACUGCAUUUGUGACUGCAUCGCUGGAGUGCGGCAGAGGGGGAUGGAAUUCCGCGUGUAGCAGUGAAAUGCGUAGAUAUGCGGAGGAACACCGAUGGCGAAGGCAAUCCCCUGGGCCUGCACUGACGCUCAUGCACGAAAGCGUGGGGGAGCAAACAGG